UUGUCCUUCAAGCUUUGCUUGGUGUUGGGCCUGCCUAUCCUGCUGGGUGGGGGGCCUAAAAGGCAGUCAUGGGUGUUGUACCCAGUCCUCCAAGUAUAUGGGCUUAUGUUACCUGCUAGGAGACUGGCUGACCCUGAAGCUUUAUAGAAGAUAUUUUUCUUUUUACUC
rnacentral:misc_RNA from 1 species